rnacentral:rRNA from 1 species
CCUACGGGGGGCUGUAGUGGGGAAUAUUGGACAAUGGGGGGAACCCUGAUCCAGCCACGCCGCGUGUGUGAAGAAGGCCCUCGGGUUGUAAAGCACUUUCAGUGAGGAAGAACGCCUGGUGGUUAAUACCCAUCAGGAAAGACAUCACUCACAGAAGAAGCACCGGCUAACUCCGUGCCAGCAGCCGCGGUAAUACGGAGGGUGCGAGCGUUAAUCGGAAUUACUGGGCGUAAAGCGCGCGUAGGUGGCUUGAUAAGCCGGUUGUGAAAGCCCCGGGCUCAACCUGGGAACGGCAUCCGGAACUGUCAAGCUAGAGUGCAGGAGAGGAAGGUAGAAUUCCCGGUGUAGCGGUGAAAUGCGUAGAGAUCGGGAGGAAUACCAGUGGCGAAGGCGGCCUUCUGGACUGACACUGACACUGAGGUGCGAAAGCGUGGGUAGCAAACAGGAUUAGAUACCCUUGUAGUC